GUGAGGAAUCUUCCACAAUGGGCGAAAGCCUGAUGGAGCAACGCCGCGUGAAGGAUGAAGGUCUUCGGAUUGUAAACUUCUUUUAUGAGUGAAGAAUAUGACGGUAACUCAUGAAUAAGCACCGGCUAACUACGUGCCAGCAGCCGCGGUCAUACGUAGGGUGCAAGCAUUAUCCGGAGUGACUGGGCGUAAAGAGUUGCGUAGGCGGUUAUGUAAGCGAAUAGUGAAGCCUGGUGGCUCAACCACACAGACUAUUAUUCGAACUGCAUAACUCGAGAAUGGUAGAGGUAACUGGAAUUUCUUGUGUAGGAGUGAAAUCCGUAGAUAUAAGAAGGAACACCAAUGGCGUAGGCAGGUUACUGGGCCAUUUCUGACGCUAAGGCACGAAAGCGUGGGGAGCGAACCGGAUUAGAUACCCGUGUAGUCC
rnacentral:rRNA from 1 species